rnacentral:rRNA from 1 species
GAUGGAGCAACGCCGCGUGAGUGAAGAAGGGUUUCGGCUCGUAAAGCUCUGUUGGUAGUGAAGAAAGAUAGAGGUAGUAACUGGCCUUUAUUUGACGGUAAUUACUUAGAAAGUCACGGCUAACUACGUGCCAGCAGCCGCGGUAAUACGUAGGUGACAAGCGUUGUCCGGAUUUAUCGGGCGUAAAGCGAGUGCAGGCGGUUCAAUAAGUCUGAUGUGAAAGCCUUCGGCUCAACCGGAGAAUUGCAUCAGAAACUGUUGAACUUGAGUGCAGAAGAGGAGAGUGGAACUCCAUGUGUAGCGGUGGAAUGCGUAGAUAUAUGGAAGAACACCAGUGGCGAAGGCGGCUCUCUGGUCUGCAACUGACGCUGAGGCUCGAAAGCAUGGGUAGCGAACAGGAUUAGAUACCCUGGUAAUUCAUGCCGUAAACGAUGAGUGCUAAGUGUUGGGAAGUUUCCGCCUCUCAGUGCUGCAGCUAACGCAUUAAGCACUCCGCCUGGGGAGUACGAACGCCAAGGUUGAAACUCAAAGGAAUUGACGGGGGCCCGCACAAGCGGUGGAGCAUGUGGUU